AUGGGAUGAUGAGUGCCGGAGGAAAGGGGUUGCUCUUUUAAAUCAUGUAAUCAGGCCUCCCUGAUAGGAUGACAUUUGAACAGGGACCUGAAUGGAAAUCUGGGAGAUGCAUAGACCAGGACUGGCUCUGGGAACCAGAACGGUGGCCUUGCUGCCAGAAGGACUUUGUUGUGCCCACCAGGGAGAGCACGGCUGCUUCCAAGGAGCACCAUCUUGGGAUAGGAAGAAGGACAGGGGCCCAGCUAUUCUGGUUUAGCCUUUGGUGUAAGGGAAAAAAUCUCAAUUACACCUACAUUUACAACAUAUAGGAGCGAGAGCCAGCGUCCUUACCAAAAUGUUGCAGACCCUAUACUCAGGUGUGCAGCUGAGAUGACUUCAUGGUGCCAGAGUCUCAGAUUUCUACUUGACUUUACUUAAUAACCUGGGGUCUGUUGGCCUCCUGCCCUUAGCCUCAGAGUGACAUCUGUGUCACUCGGCUUCUUGCUUUUCCAAUAGGAAUUCUUUCUUCUUCAGAAAAACAAACAAAAAAAAAUUAAAUUUGGGUCGCUUUCCACUUUAAACCAACCAUGCCCAUUACAGAAAAAAAAAAAAUAGAGAAAGGUAUUAAAAAUCUCCCUAAUUUUGCCACUCAAAGAUACCCCCUACUGUGCCAUGUGUCCCUCUGGUCUUUUUCUUCUGUGCCAAGUUUUUGUUUGGCUUGAUUUUUGCCUAGGUGUGAUUAUGCUAAAUAUACAAUUCAGUUUCUUCCUUUUUUCACUUAGCAUUUUAUAAUAAGCAUUUUCCCGUGUUAUUACAAAUCCUGGGUAAACAUCAUUUCAAUAGUUGCACAAUAUUCCAUGGAGUGAACGUACCAAGGUUUAUUUAAACAUCUCCCCUCCUGUUGGGCCUGUCUGUAGAUUUUUGUUUUCUGUUGGGUUCUCUUUCUAUCAUAAAUAAAAUGUCCUUUGUUUUCUUAUUCCUCCCUAUCUGGGGCCUUCAUCAAUAUGUACAAGAGAAUGCCAGUCUAGGUCCCAUUUGCAAUAGUAGAGUUGUUGAAACAACCAUAGAAGCCACAGCAUUUGCCUAGGGCUGGGGUCUGUCCCCUCUGUGACUAUAGGACAGAGCUGUCCUUGCAAGCGCACGGGGAAAGAGGCAAGGCUGGCUGGAGGGGCCAUCCAGCGGCACCACGUUCACUGGGCCUCUGCUCUCCACUGCAUGCUUUUAUAUGCAUCUCGUCAGUGAUCCUCACAACAACCCUAUUUUACGGGUGAGAAAGCUGAGGCUCAAAGAGUUUAACGAAAUUUGCCUUCAUGGCAAAAUCCAAAGACCUUCUCUUUUCGUUAAAAGUGCUUGAAUCCAAGGCCAGGCAGAGUGGCUUAUGUCUGUAAUCCCAACACUUUGGGAAUCGAGGUAGGAGCAUCACUUGAGGUCAGGAGUUCAAGACCAGCCUGACCAAUAUGGUGAAACCCCGUCUCUACUAAAAAUACAAAAAUUAGUUGGGCAUGGUGGUACACACCUGUAAUCCCAGCUACUCAAGAUACUGAGGCAAGAGAAUCACUUGAACCCGGGAGGUGGAGGUUGUAGUGAACCAAGGUCGAGCUACUGCACUCCAGCUUGGGUGACAAAGUGAGACUCUGUCUAAAAAAAAAAAAAAAA
rnacentral:lncRNA from 1 species